rnacentral:rRNA from 1 species
AUUGAACGCUGGCGGCAUGCCUUACACAUGCAAGUCGAACGGCAGCACGGGAGCAAUCCUGGUGGCGAGUGGCGAACGGGUGAGUAAUAUAUCGGAACGUGCCCAGUCGUGGGGGAUAACGCAGCGAAAGCAGUGCUAAUACCGCAUACGAUCUCUGGAUGAAAGCGGGGGACCGAAAGGCCUCGCGCGAUUGGAGCGACCGAUAUCAGAUUAGCUAGUUGGUGGGGUAAAGGCCCACCAAGGCGACGAUCUGUAGCUGGUCUGAGAGGACGACCAGCCACACUGGAACUGAGACACGGUCCAGACUCCUACGGGAGGCAGCAGUGGGGAAUUUUGGACAAUGGGCGCAAGCCUGAUCCAGCAAUGCCGCGUGCAGGAUGAAGGCCUUCGGGUUGUAAACUGCUUUUGUACGGAACGAAACGGCGAGCUCUAAUAAAGUUUGCUAAUGACGGUACCGUAAGAAUAAGCACCGGCUAACUACGUGCCAGCCGCCGCGGUAA